rnacentral:rRNA from 1 species
GGUUAAGUGACUAAGCGUACACGGUGGAUGCCUAGGCAGUCAGAGGCGAUGAAGGAUGUGCUAAUCUGCGAAAAGCGCCGGUGAGCUGAUAUGAAGCGUUAUCAGCCGGCGAUGUCCGAAUGGGGAAACCCGGUGCAACUCGUUGCAUCAUCGUCAGGUGAGUCCAUAGCCUGACGAAGCGAACCAGGGGAACUGAAACAUCUCAGUACCCUGAGGAAAAGAAAUCAACCGAGAUUCCCCCAGUAGCGGCGAGCGAACGGGGAACAGCCCAGAGCCAUCAUCAGCUUGCGCAUCAGGAGAACGGUCUGGAAAGUCCGGCGACAGAGGGUGAUAGCCCCGUAUCCGAAGGUGCGCUUGUUGUGAGCUCGAUGAGUAGGGCGGGACACGUGAUAUACUGUCUGAAGAUGGGGGGACCAUCCUCCAAGGCUAAAUACUCCUGACUGACCGAUAGUGAACCAGUACCGUGAGGGAAAGGCGAAAAGAACCCCGGAGAGGGAAGUGAAAUAGAACCUGAAACCGUGUACGUACAAGCAGUGGGAGCAUCCUUCGGGGUGUGACUGCGUACCUUUUGUAUAAUGGGUCAGCGACUUAUAUUCUGUAGCAAGGUUAACCGUAUAGGGGAGCCGUAGGGAAACCGAGUCUUAACUGGGCGUCUAGUUGCAGGGUAUAGACCCGAAACCCGGUGAUCUAGCCAUGGGCAGGUUGAAGGUUGGGUAACACUAAUUGGAGGACCGAAUCGACUAAUGUUGAAAAAUUAGCGGAUGACUUGUGGCUGGGGGUGAAAGGCCAAUCAAACCGGGAGAUAGCUGGUUCUCCCCGAAAGCUAUUUAGGUAGCGCCUCGUGAAGUCAUCUACGGGGGUAGAGCACUGUUUCGGCUAGGGGUCCAUCCCGGAUUACCAAUCCCGAUGCAAACUGCGAAUACCGUAGAAUGUUAUCACGGGAGACGCACGGCGGGUGCUAACGUCCGUCGUGAAGAGGGAAACAACCCAGACCGCCAGCUAAGGUCCCAAAGUCAUGGUUAAGUGGGAAACGAUGUGGGAAGGCCCAGACAGCCAGGAUGUUGGCUUAGAAGCAGCCAUCAUUUAAAGAAAGCGUAAUAGCUCACUGGUCGAGUCGGCCUGCGCGGAAGAUGUAACGGGGCUAAACCAUGCACCGAAGCUGCGGCAGCGACACGUAAGAGUUGUUGGGUAGGGGAGCGUUCUGUAAGCCUGCGAAAGUGGCCUGUGAGGGCUGCUGGAGGUAUCAGAAGUGCGAAUGCUGACAUAAGUAACGAUAAAGCGGGUGAAAAACCCGCUCGCCGGAAGACCAAGGGUUCCUGUUCAACGUUAAUCGGAGCAGGGUGAGUCGACCCCUAAGGCGAGGCCGAAAGGCGUAGUCGAUGGAAAACGGGUUAAUAUUCCUGUACUGGGUGUGACUGCGAAGGGGGGACGGAGAAAGCUAGGUUCGCCGGGCGACGGUUGUCCCGGUUCAAGCGUGAAGGUGGAACGAGCAGGCAAAUCCGCUCAUUCUUAACACUGAGGCGUGAUGACGAGCCACCACGGUGGUGAAGGAAUUGAUGCUACGCUUCCAGGAAAAGCCUCUAAGCUCCAGGUCACAUCGAAUCGUACCCCAAACCGACACAGGUGGUCAGGUAGAGAAUACCCAGGCGCUUGAGAGAACUCGGGUGAAGGAACUAGGCAAAAUGGUGCCGUAACUUCGGGAGAAGGCACGCUGGCACGUAGGUGGAGGGCCUUGCGCCCCGAGCUGAAGCCAGUCGCAGAUACCAGCUGGCUGCAACUGUUUAUUAAAAACACAGCACUGUGCAAACACGAAAGUGGACGUAUACGGUGUGAUGCCUGCCCGGUGCCGGAAGGUUAAUUGAUGGGGUUAUCGCUUGCGAGAAGCUCUUGAUCGAAGCCCCGGUAAACGGCGGCCGUAACUAUAACGGUCCUAAGGUAGCGAAAUUCCUUGUCGGGUAAGUUCCGACCUGCACGAAUGGCGUAAUGAUGGCCAGGCUGUCUCCACCCGAGACUCAGUGAAAUUGAACUCGCCGUGAAGAUGCGGUGUACCCGCGGCAAGACGGAAAGACCCCGUGAACCUUUACUAUAGCUUGACACUGAACAUUGAGCCUUGAUGUGUAGGAUAGGUGGGAGGCUUUGAAGUGUGGACGCCAGUCUGCAUGGAGCCAACCUUGAAAUACCACCCUUUAAUGUUUGAUGUUCUCACUCAGGCCCGUUAUCCGGGCCGAGGACAGUGUCUGGUGGGUAGUUUGACUGGGGCGGUCUCCUCCCAAAGAGUAACGGAGGAGCACGAAGGUUAGCUAAUUACGGUCGGACAUCGUGAGGUUAGUGCAAAGGCAUAAGCUAGCUUGACUGCGAGAGUGACGGCUCGAGCAGGUGCGAAAGCAGGUCUUAGUGAUCCGGUGGUUCUGAAUGGAAGGGCCAUCGCUUAACGGAUAAAAGGUACUCCGGGGAUAACAGGCUGAUACCGCCCAAGAGUUCAUAUCGACGGCGGUGUUUGGCACCUCGAUGUCGGCUCAUCACAUCCUGGGGCUGAAGUAGGUCCCAAGGGUAUGGCUGUUCGCCAUUUAAAGUGGUACGCGAGCUGGGUUUAGAACGUCGUGAGACAGUUCGGUCCCUAUCUGCCGUGGGCACUGGAAGAUUGAGAGGGGCUGCUCCUAGUACGAGAGGACCGGAGUGGACGCACCACUGGUGUUCGGGUUGUCAUGCCAAUGGCAUUGCCCGGUAGCUACGUGCGGAAGAGAUAAUCGCUGAAAGCAUCUAAGCGGGAAACUUGCCUCGAGAUGAGUCUUUCCUGAGGCCUAGAGCCUCCUGAAGGGACGUUAAAGACGAUAACGUUGAUAGGUCGGGUGUGUAAGCGCUGCGAGGUGUUGAGCUAACCGAUACUAAUGACCCGUGAGACUUAACCUUACAACACC